AUUGAACGCUGGCGGCAGGCCUAACACAUGCAAGUCGAACGGUAACAGGAAGCAGCUUGCUGCUUCGCUGACGAGUGGCGGACGGGUGAGUAAUGUCUGGGAAACUGCCUGAUGGAGGGGGAUAACUACUGGAAACGGUAUCUAAUACCGCAUAACGUCGCAAGACCAAAGAGGGGGACCUUAGGGCCUCUUGCCAUCGGAUGUGCCCAGAUGGGAUUAGCUAGUAGGUGGGGUAACGGCUCACCUAGGCGACGAUCCCUAGCUGGUCUGAGAGGAUGACCCGCCACACUGGAACUGAGACACGGUCCAGACUCCUACGGGAGGCAGCAGUGGGGACUAUUGCACAAUGGGCGCAAGCCUGAUGCAGCCAUGCCGCGUGUAUGAAGCAGGCCUUCGGGUUGUAAAGUACUUUCAGCGGGGAGGAAGGGAGUAAAGUUAAUACCUUUGCUCAUUGACGUUACCCGCAGAAGAAGCACCGGCUAACUACGUG
rnacentral:rRNA from 1 species